rnacentral:rRNA from 1 species
GAUCAUGGCUCAGGAUGAACGCUAGCUACAGGCUUAACACAUGCAAGUCGAGGGGCAGCAUGAAACUUAGCUUGCUAAGUUUGAUGGCGACCGGCGCACGGGUGAGUAACACGUAUCCAACCUACCGUUUACUACGGGAUAGCCUUCUGAAAAGGAGAUUAAUACCGUAUGGUAUUCUAAAGUUUCAUGACAUUAGAAUUAAAGGUUUACCGGUAAUCGAUGGGGAUGCGUUCCAUUAGAUAGUAGGCGGGGUAACGGCCCACCUAGUCAGCGAUGGAUAGGGGUUCUGAGAGGAAGGUCCCCCACAUUGGAACUGAGACACGGUCCAAACUCCUACGGGAGGCAGCAGUGAGGAAUAUUGGUCAAUGGGCGAGAGCCUGAACCAGCCAAGUAAGCGUGAAGGAUGACUGCCCUAUGGGUUGUAAACUUCUUUUAUAAAGGAAUAAAGUGGUCCACGUGUGGAUUUUUGUAUGUACUUUAUGAAUAAGGAUCGGCUAACUCCGUGCCAGCCGCAGC